GACGAACCGUGCGAACGUUGUUCGGAAUCACUGGGCUUAAAGGGCGCGUAGGCGGCUUGCAUAGUCGGGGGUGAAAUCGUUCGGCUUAACCGGACCAUUGCCUUCGAUACUAGCAGGCUCGAGCGAGGUAGGGGCAGAGGGAACUUCCGGUGGAGCGGUGAAAUGUGUUGAUAUCGGAAGGAACGCCGGUGGCGAAAGCGCUCUGCUGGACCUCUUCUGACGCUGAGGCGCGAAAGCCAGGGGAGCAAACGGG
rnacentral:rRNA from 1 species